UGGGAUGUAGCUCAGUGGCAGAGCACUUGCCUAGCAGGUGUCAAGCCCUGGGUUCUAUCCCUAGCACUGCAA
rfam:Ictidomys tridecemlineatus contig057431, whole genome shotgun sequence.